rnacentral:misc_RNA from 1 species
GGCUGCAGUAUAUUAUUCAGUCAAUCUCUUCUCUUGCUGUAUUGGCAACUCUAGGGAAGUAGAAGAGUACUAACCAUUUACUUGCAGGUCAAUUCCUAUCUCUUCAGUGUUUACUUGCUGAGAUGUUUUGCUAUGAAAACUGAAAUAUUUAUACGGUGCCUUGUGAGAAAUCAGAAUCUCAACAUAUUUUUGUAGGUAUUUCACUUCAUGAUGUUAUGAAGUAUGCAAUAUCAUAACUACUGAUGUUGUGUAGCAAACCUACUUCCAUUUAUGAGUUACUAUUCUGAGUUCUGACAGUGUAAUGGGAAAUUUUUUUACUAAGGUCAAUCCUUGGGAAGAAUACUUGCAAAUAAUAGAUACCCUAAGAUUCAUUUUCAUCCAUUAACUGUGAAAUGAUAGAAAUGUUUAAAUUUGGUGAAUAGUGUAAACUGGGUUUAUAACCAAGCUAGUGCUUGAGUAUUUGAAUGCACUUUGAUGCGCCCCUUGUGUAUGAAAAAUCAAUAUGCUAACUGUAAACAAGAGGUUAAGUGCUACUUUAAACAAAGUUUAAUGUCCACUAGCUGUUUUUAUCACUGUACACUGAAACAGGAAUGGGACCAAUAUUAAACUCAAAUAAGACACUUUCCAUUAGUGUUCUGAUGCACAUUAAAAAGUUAAGAAUAAAACACAUGGGAAGUUUACAAGCAACUGUAAUGCCAAAUUAUGUGUCAGUCUUUGACCAGGAU